rnacentral:snRNA from 9 species
AUACUUACCUAGGCCAGCGCGCGAGUGAUCAACAAGACUCGUUAGCCCAACAGGGGCCUCAUGCAUUGCACAGCGCAUGAGUGCAUCCUCUGUUGCUACUGUGGCUUCGGUUGCAGUUAGUGGUCACAAUUUUUGAUUGCAAUCAAUCACAAUCUUUUCAUCAUUC